UCUUAUGAGUGAGCAAAGAAAGUGGUUUUUCGAGAUGAAACCUAUUCCUGAUGAAGAUGCUGUGAA
rnacentral:pre_miRNA from 1 species